CCUACGGGCGGCAGCAGUGAGGAAUAUUGGUCAAUGGACGCAAGUCUGAACCAGCCAUGCCGCGUGCAGGAAGACGGCUCUAUGAGUUGUAAACUGCUUUUAUCAGGGACGAUAAUGACGGUAACUGAAGAAAAAGCUCCGGCUAACUACGUGCCAGCAGCCGCGGUAAUACGUAGGGAGCGAGCGUUGUCCGGAAUUACUGGGUGUAAAGGGAGCGUAGGCGGGACGGCAAGUCAGAUGUGAAAACUGAGGGCUCAACUUUCAGACUGCAUUUGAAACUGCUGUUCUUGAGUGAAGUAGAGGUAAGCGGAAUUCCUAGUGUAGCGGUGAAAUGCGUAGAUAUUAGGAGGAACAUCGGUGGCGAAGGCGGCUUACUGGGCUUUUACUGACGCUGAGGCUCGAAAGCGUGGGGAGCAAACAGGAUUAGAUACCCUAGUAGUC
rnacentral:rRNA from 1 species